rnacentral:rRNA from 1 species
UACGUAGGGUGCAAGCGUUAAUCGGAAUUACUGGGCGUAAAGCGUGCGCAGGCGGUGAGUUAAGUCUGAUGUGAAAGCCCCGGGCUCAACCUGGGAAUGGCAUUGGAAACUGGCUCGCUGGAGUGUGGCAGAGGGGGGUGGAAUUCCGCGUGUAGCAGUGAAAUGCGUAGAGAUGCGGAGGAACACCGAUGGCGAAGGCAGCCCCCUGGGCCAACACUGACGCUCAGGCACGAAAGCGUGGGGAGCAAACAGG